rnacentral:rRNA from 1 species
UACAGAGGUGGCAAGCGUUGUUCGGAAUUACUGGGCGUAAAGGGCUCGUAGGCGGCCAACUAAGUCAGACGUGAAAUCCCUCGGCUUAACCGGGGAACUGCGUCUGAUACUGGAUGGCUUGAGUUCGGGAGAGGGAUGCGGAAUUCCAGGUGUAGCGGUGAAAUGCGUAGAUAUCUGGAGGAACACCGGUGGCGAAGGCGGCAUCCUGGACCGAUACUGACGCUGAGUGAGCGAAAGCCAGGGGAGCAAACGGG